UACAGAGGGUGCAAGCGUUGUUCGGAAUUAUUGGGCGUAAAGCGCGUGUAGGCGGCUUAGCAAGUCGGGCGUGAAAUCCCUCGGCUCAACUGAGGAACUGCACGGGAGACUGCCGGGCUUGAGUUCGGGAGAGGGAAGCGGAAUUCCGGGUGUAGCGGUGAAAUGCGUAGAUAUCCGGAGGAACACCGGUGGCGAAGGCGGCUUCCUGGACCGACACUGACGCUGAGGCGCGAAAGCUAGGGGAGCAAACGGG
rnacentral:rRNA from 1 species